UCCUCUGUAACUCAGUUGGCAGAGUGGCACCCUGUUAAGGUGACUGUCGGUGGUUCGAGUCCACCCGGAGGAGCCA
rnacentral:tRNA from 1 species